AUGGAUCCUAGGAGAAGAGCUACAUCAGAUGAUCCAGUUUGGAAGUAUGGGUUCUGGCCAGAUUUAGAGAGGAAAGAUUUACUCCAGUGUACAUUGUGUGGCAAGAUAGUCCAUGCUGGAGUGAGAAGGCUGAAGCAGCACCUUUCUGGGGGUUGUAGUGAUGCAGAUAUGUGUCCCGAGGCAUCUAUGGAGAUUAGGAUAGAGAUGCGCAAAUCCUUAAACACUAGAAAGUUUAAAGCUAUGGAGCGAUAUAUUGAUGAGAAGGAUGAAGCUGAAGUUCAAAGGCGCCGUUCUGUCAUAUACAGAAGAUGA
rnacentral:rRNA from 1 species